GACGAACGCUGGCGGCGUGCUUAACACAUGCAAGUCGAACGGAAAGGCCCUGCUUUUGUGGGGUGCUCGAGUGGCGAACGGGUGAGUAACACGUGAGUAACCUGCCCUUGACUUUGGGAUAACUUCAGGAAACUGGGGCUAAUACCGGAUAGGAGCUCCUGCUGCAUGGUGGGGGUUGGAAAGUUUCGGCGGUUGGGGAUGGACUCGCGGCUUAUCAGCUUGUUGGUGGGGUAGUGGCUUACCAAGGCUUUGACGGGUAGCCGGCCUGAGAGGGUGACCGGACACAUUGGGACUGAGAUAAGGCCCAGACUCCUACGGGAGGCAGCAGUGGGGAAUAUUGCACAAUGGGAGGAAGCCUGAUGCAGCAAAGCCGCGUGCGGGAUGACGGCCUUCGGGUUGUAAACCGCUUUCGCCUGUGACGAAGCGUGAGUGACGGUAAUGGGUAAAGAAGCACCGGCUAACUACGUG
rnacentral:rRNA from 1 species